rnacentral:lncRNA from 1 species
UGGAUGUGACCUAAGAAUACGAUGUCUCAUUCGAUCUCAAGUACAUGGUGGGGUUUUUCACGUGAAGGAGAAUCAACCAUAGGUGUGAUUUCAUGCUAGCUAAUCACAUGCAUGGUUUUUUCCACCUCGUAAACUAAGUUCUGAAGAAAUCGGAGCCCUGUCUGGGUUGCUAGACAAAAAGGAGGAUGCAACGCGGAUUCGCCCAGCCAGCCACGACCCG